AGGGGUGGCCAGAUCCUGAGCUGUGUCCCGGCGCCCUGUGCUCCCGGUCUGCGCUGUUGGAUUCGCACUCGCGGCCGCGUAGCCGCCU
rnacentral:pre_miRNA from 1 species